rnacentral:tRNA from 1 species
GUUUUUGUAGUUGAAUGACAACGGUGGUUUUUCAGAUCGCUAGUCUUGGUGUGGAAGCCAAGCAGAAAUA